rnacentral:rRNA from 1 species
AUUGAACGCUGGCGGCAGGCCUAACACAUGCAAGUCGAGCGGAUGAAGGGAGCUUGCUCCUGGAUUCAGCGGCGGACGGGUGAGUAAUGCCUAGGAAUCUGCCUGGUAGUGGGGGAUAACGUCCGGAAACGGGCGCUAAUACCGCAUACGUCCUGAGGGAGAAAGUGGGGGAUCUUUGGACCUCACGCUAUCAGAUGAGCCUAGGUCGGAUUAGCUAGCUGGUGGGGUAAGGGCCUACCAAGGCGACGAUCCGUAACUGGUCUGAGAGGAUGAUCAGUCACACUGGAACUGAGACACGGUCCAGACUCCUACGGGAGGCAGCAGUGGGGAAUAUUGGGCAAUGGGCGAAAGCCUGAUCCAGCCAUGCCGCGUGUGUGAAGAAGGUCUUCGGAUUGUAAAGCACUUUAAGUUGGGAGGAAGGGCAGUAAGUUAAUACCUUGCUGUUUUGACGUUACCAACAGAAUAAGCACCGGCUAACUACGUG